rnacentral:rRNA from 1 species
AUUGAACGCUGGCGGCAUGCCUUACACAUGCAAGUCGAACGGCAGCACGGAGCUUGCUCUGGUGGCGAGUGGCGAACGGGUGAGUAAUAUAUCGGAACGUACCCAAGGGUGGGGGAUAACGUAGCGAAAGUUACGCUAAUACAGCAUACGAUCUAAGGAUGAAAGCAGGGGACCGCAAGGCCUUGUGCUCCUGGAGCGGCCGUUAUCUGAUUAGCUAGUUGGUGAGGUAAAGGCUCACCAAUGCAUCGAUCAGUAGCUGGGCUGAGAGGACGACCAGCCACACUGGAACUGAGACACGGUCCAGACCCCUACGGGAGGCAGCAGUGGGGAAUUUUGGACAAUGGGGGCAACCCUGAUCCAGCAAUGCCGCGUGAGUGAAGAAGGCCUUCGGGUUGUAAAGCUCUUUUGUCAGGGAAGAAACGGUGAAGGCUAAUAUCCUUUGCUAAUGACGGUACCUGAAGAAUAAGCACCGGCUAACUACGUGCCAGCCGCCGCGGUAAUAC